ACUUAUAUAGUUUAACUUAAAACUAUUCAUUUUCAAUGAAUAAAUAGAAUAUUUAAUUUCUUGUAAGUA
rnacentral:tRNA from 1 species